GCGCUCUUAGUUCAGUUCGGGAGAACGUGUGUCUCCAAAACCCAAUGUCGUAGGUUCAAAUCCUACAGAGCGGG
rfam:Triticum aestivum genome assembly, contig: Triticum_aestivum_CS42_TGACv1_scaffold_400654_5AS